UACGGAGGAUUCAAGCGUUAUCCGGAUUUAUUGGGUUUAAAGGGUGCGUAGGCGGUUGGAUAAGUUAGAGGUGAAAUCCCGGGGCUCAACUCCGGAAUUGCCUCUGAUACUGUUCGGCUAGAGAUCAGUUGCGGUAGGCGGAAUGUAUGGUGUAGCGGUGAAAUGCUUAGAGAUCAUACAGAACACCGAUUGCGAAGGCAGCUUACCAAGCUGAAUCUGACGUUGAGGCACGAAAGCGUGGGUAGCAAACAGG
rnacentral:rRNA from 1 species